GUUUUCUCUGCUGGACAG
rnacentral:miRNA from 1 species